rnacentral:rRNA from 1 species
UACGUAGGGGGCAAGCGUUGUCCGGAUUUAUUGGGCGUAAAGAGCGUGUAGGCGGCCACACAGGUCUGCUGUGAAAACUCGAGGCUCAACCUCGAGCUGUCGGUGGAAACCGUGUGGCUAGAGUCCGGAAGAGGAGAGUGGAAUUCCCGGUGUAGCGAUGAAAUGCGCAGAUAUCGGGAAGAACACCCGUGGCGAAGGCGGCUCUCUGGGACGGUACUGACGCUGAGACGCGAAAGCGUGGGGAGCGAACAGG